GCAUAUCAAUAAGCGGAGGAAAAGAAACCAACAGGGGAUUGCCUCAGUAACGGCGAGUGAAGCGGCAACAGCUCAAAUUUGAAAUCUGGCCCUAGGCCCGAGUUGUAAUUUGCAGAGGAUGUUUCUGGCGAGGUGCCUUCCGAGUUCCCUGGAACGGGACGCCAUAGAGGGUGAGAGCCCCGUACGGUUGGUCGCUAAGCCUCUGUGAAACUCCUUCGACGAGUCGAGUAGUUUGGGAAUGCUGCUCUAAAUGGGAGGUAUACGUCUUCUAAAGCUAAAUACCGGCCAGAGACCGAUAGCGCACAAGUAGAGUGAUCGAAAGAUGAAAAGCACUUUGAAAAGAGGGUUAAAUAGUACGUGAAAUUGUUGAAAGGGAAGCGCUUAUGACCAGACUUGGACCGGUUGAUCAUCCAUCGUUCUCGGUGGUGCACUCUGCCGGUUCAGGCCAGCAUCAGUUCGUCCCGGGGGAUAAAGGCUUUGGGAAUGUGGCUCUUCGGAGUGUUAUAGCCCACUGCGUAAUACCCUGGGAUGGACUGAGGUUCGCGCUCCGCAAGGAUGCUGGCGUAAUGGUCAUCAGUGACCCGUCUUGAAACACGGACCAAGGAGUCGUCUUCGUAUGCGAGUGUUCGGGUGUCAAACCCCUACGCGUAAUGAAAGUGAACGUAGGAGAGAGCUUCGGCGCAUCUCCGACCGAUCCUGAUGUUCUCGGAUGGAUUUGAGUAAGAGCAUACGGGGCCGGACCCGAAAGAAGGUGAACUAUGCUUGUAUAGGGUGAAGCCAGAGGAAACUCUGGUGGAGGCUCGCAGCGGUUCUGACGUGCAAAUCGAUCGUCAAAUAUGAGCAUGGGGGCGAAAGACUAAUCGAACCUUCUAGUAGCUGGUUUCCGCCGA
rnacentral:rRNA from 1 species